CAAGGGUUAGUUUAAAAAAAUAUUAGUUUUGGGGACUGAUGAUAGGGAAUUUUCUCUAUCCUUGA
rnacentral:tRNA from 1 species